AAAUUGGUUGUAUGGAGGAAAUGUACCACAUCAAAUGCGAAGGGUCUUUGCUAAAGGAGAACAACACGUGAAGAAAAAUAAAAAAAUUAAAAAAACUAAUCCAGAUUUAUUAGGCGCCAGCUCCAAUGAUAAGUUGCGUGAGCCAGCUGCAGGAAUAUCGUGGAACCCGGAAGAUAAGAAUCAGUUGAACGAUACAAAUUCGCUACACUUGACCUUAAUGCUGCCGCUCACUGAAGAGAGAUGGCAAUGAUCUCUGAAGAGAGAUGGGAGUUUUGUCGAUUUACUUUAUCAGCUCUCGGAUAAAACACAGCAGAACGAAGCGAGCUUGAUCAAGAAAUGAAGAUGAGACGAGACGCCAUCUUGAUGUAACAGAUGAACUUGAGCCAGGAUGCUGGAUGCUGUACCGGACUCAUCGGGGAUUCAGCCAUAUUUCAAUCCGCACCUGACAUAUCUCAGCUGGCCACAUACCAGAUUGGAGGAGUCUCUCCUCUCCACACAAAUUAUGCCACAUCUUUUAUGUAUACCGAAUAAAAAUUUCACUUUAUAUCGUCCAUUAGUAAACAUGAAUCGUUCAAGACAACAUGGUCGGAGCGAUACAAUUUAUGGUUUACUCUGUUAAUAAAAUCAUUUACUUUAUUAAGGUAUUAGAUGGAGAAUACACGUGACACUUGAGAAAAAUA